GGAGAUGCAGCUCAGUGGUAGAGCCCCUGCUUAGCAUGCAUGAGGCCCUGGGUUCCAUCCCCAGCAUCACCA
rnacentral:tRNA from 1 species